CCCUUAGAUGUCCGGGGCUGCACGCGCGCUACACUGUAGAAAGCAGCGUGCUUUAAAACCUUUCCUGAAAAGGAUGGGUAACCCCAGCAAAAUUCUACGUGCUUGGGAUAGAGAUUUGCAAUUUUCUCUCUUGAACGAGGAAUUCCCAGUAAGUGCGAGUCAUCAGCUCGCGUUGAUUACGUCCCUGCCCUUUGUACACACCGCCCGUCGCUACUACCGAUUGAACGUUUUAGUGAGCUCCUCGGAUUGUCAGCCUGGCGGUUAAUCCUGCCUGGCUAGCGAAAAGACGAGCAAACUUGAGCGUUUAGAGGAAGUAAAAGUCGUAACA
rnacentral:rRNA from 1 species